rnacentral:piRNA from 1 species
UGAGCAUAGGAAUCUCCCAUUCUCAUCCCCU